GACGAACGCUGGCGGCGUGCUUAACACAUGCAAGUCGAACGGAAAGGCCCUGCUUUUGUGGGGUGCUCGAGUGGCGAACGGGUGAGUAACACGUGAGUAACCUGCCCUUGACUUUGGGAUAACUUCAGGAAACUGUGGCUAAUACCGGAUAGGAGCUCCUGCUGCAUGGUGGGGGUUUGAAAGUUUCGGCGGUUGGGGAUGGACUCGCGGCUUAUCAGCUUGUUGGUGGGGUAUUGGCUUACCAAGGCUUUGACGGGUAGCCGGCCUGAGAGGGUGACCGGCCACAUUGGGACUGAGAUACGGCCCAGACUCCUACGGGAGGCAGCAGUGGGGAAUAUUGCACAAUGGGCGGAAGCCUGAUGCAGCAACGCCGCGUGCGGGAUGACGGCCUUCGGGUUGUAAACCGCUUUCGCCUGUGACGAAGCGUGAGUGACGGUAAUGGGUAAAGAAGCACCGGCUAACUACGUG
rnacentral:rRNA from 1 species